AUGUCGCCGCCGAGUUCGCCGGAGGAACAAGAACGUCUGUCCAACCGUCCAAUGUCGCUGUCGGCGGCUACAACAAAGGUGCCAAAGGCAUCCAAUCCAACUCAGGUGGAGGCCAAGGAGACUGGGACCUUUGUUCCUGUUAUUUUGCCAUCAAAACUGAAAAAGGGUGAUGCUAAUUCACCAAAUGUCGAUGUGUCAUCAUCCUACUAUACAUUGACCGGCCAUGAUCUAUGUGCUCAUAUAGCAAUAGAAUCAUCUUUGAGAAAACAAUUGAUGGUUCAGAUAGAUGGAAGUUCUGUCUUGCAAAAUCAAUUGAUGUGCCUACUAGAUCAAAAAGAGUGGGUAAAUGAUGAUAUUAAACUUCCAAUAAAUGCCAGCAACACGCAUUGGUAUUUAGCUGUUGUAAAUACCAAAAAAUGUGAGGUUCAAGUACUAGACUCGCUGUGCUGGAAUUCUGAUAUAGAUGAUCUCGUUAAUACGCUACGAGGAAUACAAUUUCAUUUGGACCUUCUUAAAAGUCAAAAUUCGAUGCGCACUAUCCUACCCAAUUACACAGGAAAUGAUUACUUCUUUUAG
rnacentral:rRNA from 1 species